AAGCGUAACUUUAACUCCCAAAAUACCAUUAAUUUUUAUGAACCCCUAAUUUAUAAUGAAUGACUCCAUAUUUAUAUGGAAGACACCAUGCUAGGAUUAGUAACAAGAAUUUAUAAUUCUCCAAAAUGCAAAUAUAAACCAACAUGGAUAGACCAUUGGUAGUUACCGAACCUAAAUUCAAUGCAAUAACAUCCACAAGAAAACUCUGCAGUACUCACUCGUUAACCUAACACCAGCGCAUUACAGGAAAGAUUUAAAAAAAGAGAAGGAAUUCGGCAAAUGACGGCCCCGCCUGUUUACCAAAAACAUCGCCUCUUGACUUAUAAUAAGAGGUCCAGCCUGCCCAGUGAAUUUUAAACGGCCGCGGUAUCCUAACCGCGCGAAGGUAGCAUAAUCACUUGUUCUUUAAAUGGGGACUUGUAUCAACGGCAUCACGAGGGUUUUACUGUCUCCUCUUUUUGAUCAGUGAAAUUGAUCUUCCCGUGAAGAAGCGGGAAUAUUUUUAUAAGACGAGAAGACCCCAUGGAGCUUUAAACCAAAUAACAACUUAACCACUUAUCCCAUAAUAAAUUUAAGCCCUGUUAUAAGGUUUUUGGUUGGGGUGACCGCGGAGUAAAGCACAUCCUCCACGACGGAAAGAACAGAAUCUUUAUUUAAGAACCACACUUCUAGAAAUUAGUAUACUAACGUUUACUGACCCGACAAUCGAUCAACGGACCAAGUUACCCUGGGGAUAACAGCGCAAUCUACUUCAAGAGCUCAUAUCGACAAGUAGGCUUACGACCUCGAUGUUGGAUCAGGGUAUCCCGGUGGUGCAGCCGCUACCGAAGGUUCGUUUGUUCAACGAUUAAAACCCUAC
rnacentral:rRNA from 1 species